rnacentral:rRNA from 1 species
UACAGAGGAUGCAAGCGUUAUCCGGAAUGAUUGGGCGUAAAGCGUCUGUAGGUGGCUUUUUAAGUCCGCCGUCAAAUCCCAGGGCUCAACUCUGGACAGGCGGUGGAAACUGUGGGGCUAGAGUACGGAAGAGGCGAGUGGAAUUCCUGGUGUAGCGGUGGAAUGCGCAGAUAUCAGGAGGAACACCAAUAGCGAAGGCAGCUCGCUGGGACGUUACUGACGCUGAGGCGCGAAAGCGUGGGGAGCGAACAGG